rnacentral:lncRNA from 1 species
UGCCCUGGGCUCCUGGGUCGCCUGGAUCUGCCUUCCCCUAACUGGAGAGGCCUCCUUCUUCUCCUGAGGACUGAGCCAUCUGCCCUGCUACUGG